CCCUUAGCAAAGCCAAAAACAGGCUUGUUGUGGUGGAAUUUGCAGGGAAAGACAGUGAAAGGUCGAAAAAUAUUUACCCUUUUAUGGUAAACCUAAGUAAGACAUGCAACGACGUUGAUUUCUUGCUAGUGAUUGGUGAUGAAACUGAGAAGACAAAGGAACUCUGCCGCAGAGAAAAGAUAGAUAAGGUACAAGUUUAUAGCGAAGUGUCUGUUAUAAAGAACAUAUAUUAUAACAUAACAUGAAAAUUGGUUCCGAAAAAGCUUUUCUUUUAUAGUGAAGUGUUGUUAUAUAGAUAUGACGUUAUAGCGCUGUUGAGUGAUUUCGCUACAUGAAAUAUAAUAUUCCUCCCUCCAUAGAGAGUAAUAAAGAAAAAAUAUUUUUGAAUUAUGUGAUUUUAAAUGUGGCGAAAUGUUUGUAUAGCUAUAAAAGCGUCUAACUAAAAAUAAAUAAAAAUUUAAAGUUAAAUUAUUUUCAAAUUAGAAUUCUAUGGAUCAUUUUGGAUAUAGUAAUAAGAAGUUAAUAUCAUGGAACGAAGGGAGUAAUAGAAUACAAAAUUACAUAAUAUUACCCGGAUAAACAUUGGUGUACAGUUUAAUUUGAGCCAUAUUGAACCAAGUAUGACUAGAUCUCCUUGUUAUCAGUGGUGGACCUGAGAUUUAAAAUUAAUAGGUUGAUCAAUCUUUUACAUUUAUAGCAAGGACAUAUGUUUUUAAAUUAUGACUUAAAAAAUGGAAAUUGUAGUGAUGAUUCUUUAUUUAUGGCUUUCAAUUCAAAAGUUAUUUAGAGCCCGUUUGGAUUAGCGGAUUGUAAAUGGGUGAUAAGCUUAAAGUGUUAAAAAAUAUUUUUAAGGCUGAAAUUGAUUUUUUUAAAUAAGCAAUUACAUGUUUAAAUAGGCAUACUGAAACCAAUAAUAAAUAAUUGAUGUGUUUGCUAGAAAAGUACUGAUAAAUUAUUAUUUUGUUAAAAUAACUAAAACACCUUUAAAAACUUUACAAAAGAUUAUAAAUUUAAAAAGUUUUCUUGUAAAGAAAAGGAUGAACAACUAAGGUAAAAUAAAUAGUAAGUUAGGAAAUUUAUUUUGGAAAAAAUAUUUUGUAAACUAAAAUUAAGGAUAAAUUAGUAAAAGUUUUAGUUAAACUAAAAGUGCUUAUAAGCUGAAAAGUCAUAAGUUGGGGGUGAUCAACUUAUGACUUAUGGCUAAUUUUAGCUUAUAAACACUUUGGAUUUUUACAAAACCCAUAGAUAGACCAAUAAGUGCUUACAAACCUUUUUGACCAGCUUAUAAUCUUAGCCAAAUACCCUCCUAGUUGCAAAAAAUUAAACCUAUAUGCAAAGGCGACCGUAAUGUAUCGGCAUCAGGUUCAACUGAACCAAGUACUUUUGUCAAUAUUGCAAUAUAUAGUAAUAUAAACUCAUAACUUAAAAAAUACAAGGGGUUCAAUGCUAAAAACUUCAAAAGUUGAAUACAUAAAACUUAAAUCUUAGAUUUGCAUCUUAUGCAAAACCUAGUAUGCCCUUUCAUUUUGGCUUAUAAAGUUCAGCUCAUACGAACUGGGCGUUUUACUAGACCUUCCAUGCAUACAACAGGCUAGCCUACGAGGUAUGGUCCGGUCGAACCAAAUCACUUUUACUUAAAUAUUGUAUUUGUACUAGAAAAUUCAUUAAAUAUAUGUAAAUAUUUAAUUGCGAACCUAGUAACUAAGACGAGUUAUGAGUUCCGUGGUAAAUUCAGAACGCAUAAACUUCAAAUUCCGGUUUUGCCUCUGAAUGCACGAUCCAAUGAUUAUGUAUCAAACUUUUAGUUAAGCUCUUGUUUUUCAACUACCAUCAAAUCAAACUCGAAACAGGGAGUACUAUAUAAAUAAAAUAAUUAAGCUAAUGUAAGCUCGUUUUUUUCUCAACAGGUACCACAUUUCAACUUUUACAAAAGCAUGGAAAAGAUACACGAGGAAGAAGGCAUAGGUCCAGAUCAACUAGUUGGAGACGUACUCUACUACGGCGACAACCAUUCUGAAGUGGUACAACUCCACAGCAGAGAAGACGUAGAAAAACUAAUUCAAGACCACAAAAUUGAUCAAAAACUAAUAGUUCUUGAUGUGGGAUUGAAACAUUGUGGGCCAUGUGUUAAAGUUUAUCCAACGGUGAUUAAGCUAUCAAGGCAAAUGGCUGAUACAGUUGUAUUUGCAAGAAUGAACGGUGAUGAGAAUGACAGUUGCAUGCAGUUUUUGAAGGAUAUGGAUGUAGUUGAAGUGCCAACAUUUUUGUUUAUAAGAGAAGGGGAGAUUUGUGGAAGGUAUGUUGGAUCUGGAAAAGGAGAACUUAUUGGAGAAAUUCUUAGAUACCAAGGAG
rnacentral:lncRNA from 1 species